GUGAAACACUUGUUCUCAUACAAUCAGCAAAGUUAAGCAACAUUGAGCCUGAUUAGUACCUAGAUGGGUAGCUGCUUGGGAAUACUUGCUGCUGUAAG